rnacentral:rRNA from 1 species
UACAGAGGGGGCAAGCGUUGUCCGGAAUUACUGGGCGUAAAGAGCUCGUAGGUGGUUUGUCGCGUUGUUCGUGAAAACCUGAGGCUUAACCUUGGGCGUGCGGGCGAUACGGGCAUCACUGGAGUUCGGCAGGGGAGACUGGAAUUCCUGGUGUAGCGGUGAAAUGCGCAGAUAUCAGGAGGAACACCGGUGGCGAAGGCGGGUCUCUGGGCCGAUACUGACGCUGAGGCGCGAAAGCCAGGGGAGCAAACGGG